UUUGAUUGUUUAAUUUAUUUUAAUAAUAUAAAAUUAAACAAAAAAUGAUGGAGGAGAUAUACAUUGUUAUCAAAUCUUUAUUAUUAAACUCAUUAAUUGUCAUAUAUAUAUUAGUCAUUUAUGGUAAUUCCGUAGGUUUUAUUUAAGGAAAGAAAAUAUCAUAUCAUAUCAUUAUAUCAUAUAGUUUGACCAACUUAUGUAUCUAACAAUAUAUAAAAAUCGAAUGUGGACCUACUUAUUUUUCAAUUGAAUGUAAUUGACUACCUAAUUGAGUGCCACCUAUGCAUUGGGG
rnacentral:lncRNA from 1 species